rnacentral:lncRNA from 1 species
AAAAUAUGUUUUUGUCACACACAUUGACAAAGCAAAAAAAUUCUGGUCCUAAUAAAGUGUACAUUAUUUAUAGCAAAGUGAAAACUUAGAUGACAUUAUUUAUAGCAAAGUGAAAACUUAGAUGAUCUUUUUUUUUCGUCGUCAAUGGUUUAAUUAAUCAAAUGGAUCCCACCCUUUCUUAGAGUCAUUGUUAAACACCGAGUGCAAUUAUCACCUCACAAGUUGGUGAACAUUACCAACAUUCUUAUUGAUCCAAAUGAGUAGGACACACUGCUUUAAAAACGAAUCACCCACAGUUCGAGUGUGGCGCACUUAGACCAAUGGGACGGAGGGUAAUUUUUAUCCCGAUGAAAAUAAUUGCACUUGCGCUUAUGAAAAUUAAAUGGGCUGCACUCAAAAAAUUAUUGUUGUUUAUCUCAAUUAAUUUGUAGAUAAAAAAAUUAAUGGAGUGAAUAAAUACAAUUCUUAACCCAACCAAUGAAAUAUUUUUAUGCUUAAUUUCUAAAAUACCUCCUAAACUAUCACAUUUUAUCAUUUUUACCCCUUAUUUAAAAAGUAAAUUAUAUUGAAUACCCUUAAUUAAUUAAUUGUAUUACUUAUACCCUUUUCAAUACUAAUUUAUGUGAAAUCGUGAUGAAAAUCAUUCACGUGUCGUUCAUGCUUCAAUUAUAUCCAUUUAUAUCCAAAAUAUUCUUAGUUUUGCGAAAAAUAAGUCAACGCUUUAUAUAAAAAUUUAUUAAUAGGGGUUAAGUUUGUUCCCAUAAUUGCUUCAUAAGCCUUUAUACGGAGUAUUGAUUUAUUUUUAUAAUAAAUAAUGAUAUUUUAUACAUAAAUGCUUAUACUUGACGCACAUGUAUAAUACAUGAUCGAUUUUUAUCACUAUUUCACACAAAUUAAUAAUAAAAAGAGUGUAAAUGACAUAACUAAAUAGUAAAGGAGUCAAUAUGAUUCAAUAAAAGUGACAAAAGAUAAUAGUUUGGGGGUGUUUUAUAAAUUAAGGCAAUGACUUUUCGACUGAUUUUUUUAAUCUUAUAAGCAAAAAAAAUUUAUUUUUUUUAUUUUUUCUUUAUUUUUGACUAAAGUAAAGUCAGAAAAAUAAAAGUCAAAAAAUCUUAAUUUUUUUUUGAUAAUUGGCUUCUAAAUAUUGCCGAACUUGGCUUUUAGCAGGACCGCUAUUGACUACAUGCGGCAAGUCUGCAACAACGCACCUUCCUCGUCGAGGACUUUUUGGUUUGGCCAUCUCGCGAUUUCCG